rnacentral:rRNA from 1 species
GUGGCGGACGGGUGAGUAACACGUGGGAACGUGCCUUUAGGUUCGGAAUAAGCCCGGGAAACUGGGUCUAAUACCGGAUGUGCCCUUCGGGGGAAAGAUUUAUCGCCUUUAGAGCGGCCCGCGUCUGAUUAGCUAGUUGGUGGUGUAAUGGACCACCAAGGCGACGAUCAGUAGCUGGUCUGAGAGGAUGAUCAGCCACAUUGGGACUGAGACACGGCCCAAACUCCUACGGGAGGCAGCAGUGGGGAAUCUUGCGCAAUGGGCGAAAGCCUGACGCAGCCAUGCCGCGUGAAUGAUGAAGGUCUUAGGAUUGUAAAAUUCUUUCACCGGGGACGAUAAUGACGGUACCCGGAGAAGAAGCCCCGGCUAACUUCGUGCCAGCAGCCGCGGUAAUACGAAGGGGGCUAGCGUUGUUCGGAAUUACUGGGCGUAAAGGGCGCGUAGGCGGCGCUUCAAGUCAGAUGUGAAAGCCCUGGGCUUAACCUGGGAACUGCAUUUGAGACUGGAGUGCUUGAGGACCGGAGAGGUGGGUGGAAUUCCCAGUGUAGAGGUGAAAUUCGUAGAUAUUGGGAAGAACACCGGUGGCGAAGGCGGCCCACUGGACGGUUACUGACGCUGAGGCGCGAAAGCGUGGGGAGCAAACAGGAUUAGAUACCCUGGUAGUCCAC